GGCGGUAGCUCAGCAGGUAGAGCAUCAGACUUCCAAUCUGAGGGCCGCGGGUUCGAGACCCGUCCGC
rnacentral:tRNA from 1 species